rnacentral:sRNA from 1 species
GUUGGGCAUUUUGGCAUAUGCCUGUAAUCCCAGCUACUCAGGAGGCUGAGGCAGGAGAAUCGCUUGAACCCGGGAGGUGGAGUUUGCAGUGAGCUGAGAUUGUGGCCACUGCACUCCAGCCUGGCAACAGAGCAAGACUCCAUCAAAAACAAACAAACAAACUCCCAAAAAACCAUGAUAGCUCUUUGCACAUAAAAUAAACAUUUUUUAAAAAGAUAAGGGGUUGUGGAGACUACUUUUUUUUUUUGACAGUCUCACUCUGUUGCCCAGGCUGGAGUACAGUGGCGCAAUCUUGGUUCACCGCAACCUCCACCUCCUGGGUUCAAGCAAUUCUCCUGCCUCAG